rnacentral:lncRNA from 1 species
UGAAGAGCAUGAGAACACACUGAGACCAGCAGAAAGGAGCCCUCUCUGAACCGCUUCAUUACAUCUGUACCUCAAACCUAAUGAAGAGGAAUGCUGAUCCAGUUGGUGGGACUCACAUGGACUGAACUUUAAGAAUCAUAUUCAUUGAAAUUUGAGCAAAUUACCAGUAGAUGAUGGCCUUGCGACUUUUCCACAGGUAGGACUUUUAGACUAGCUUCAUUUUUUUAAGAUGAUAAACUUUAUGCUGCCAAAUACUGAAUAACUGUACAUUGAGUGAUUAUAAAAUUA